rnacentral:rRNA from 1 species
UACGUAUGGAGCAAGCGUUAUCCGGAUUUACUGGGUGCAAAGGGUGCGUAGGUGGCAGUGCAAGUCAGAUGUGAAAGGCCGGGGCUCAACCCCGGAGCUGCAUUUGAAACUGCGCGGCUAGAGUACAGGAGAGGCAGGCGGAAUUCCUAGUGUAGCGGUGAAAUGCGUAGAUAUUAGGAGGAACACCAGUGGCGAAGGCGGCCUGCUGGACUGUUACUGACACUGAGGCACGAAAGCGUGGGGAGCAAACAGG